rnacentral:rRNA from 1 species
GAUGAACGCUGGCGGCGUGCCUAAUACAUGCAAGUCGAGCGAACAGACGAGGAGCUUGCUCCUCUGACGUUAGCGGCGGACGGGUGAGUAACACGUGGAUAACCUACCUAUAAGACUGGGAUAACUUCGGGAAACCGGAGCUAAUACCGGAUAAUAUAUUGAACCGCAUGGUUCAAUAGUGAAAGACGGUUUUGCUGUCACUUAUAGAUGGAUCCGCGCCGCAUUAGCUAGUUGGUAAGGUAACAGCUUACCAAGGCAACGAUGCGUAGCCGACCUGAGAGGGUGAUCGGCCACACUGGAACUGAGACACAGUCCAGACUCCUACGGGAGGCAGCAGUAGGGAAUCUUCCGCAAUGGGCGAAAGCCUGACGGAGCAACGCCGCGUGAGUGAUGAAGGUCUUCGGAUCGUAAAACUCUGUUAUUAGGGAAGAACAAAUGUGUAAGUAACUAUGCACGUCUUGACGGUACCUAAUCAGAAAGCCACGGCUAACUACGUG